rnacentral:misc_RNA from 1 species
UCCGGUUUGUCACCGGCAGUCUUGCAUGAGUCCCCGGCCGAACCGCUGGCAACAUAGGACGGGGGUUGCGCUCGUUGCGGGACUUAACCCAACAUCUCACGACACAAGCUGACGACAGCCAUGCACCACCUGUGUAAGUGUCCCGAAGGAAGACCGUGUUUCCACGGCUGUCACAAACAUGUCAAGCCUAGGUAAGGUUCUUCGCGUUGCGUCGAAUUAAACCACAUGCUCCACCGCUUGUGCGGGCCCCCGUCAAUUCCUUUGAGUUUCAGUCUUGCGACCGUACUCCCCAGGCGGAGUGCUUAAUGUGUUGACUUCGGCACAGCAGGGGUCGAUACCCGCUACACCAAGCACUCAUCGUUUACGGCGUGGACUAC